rnacentral:rRNA from 1 species
GACGAACGCUGGCGGCGUGCUUAACACAUGCAAGUCGAACGCUGAAGCUCAGCUUGCUGGGUGGAUGAGUGGCGAACGGGUGAGUAACACGUGAGUAACCUGCCCUCUUCUUUGGGAUAACGCCCGGAAACGGGUGCUAAUACUGGAUAUUCACUGAUUCUCGCAUGGGGGUUGGUGGAAAGGUUUUUUCUGGUGGGGGAUGGGCUCGCGGCCUAUCAGCUUGUUGGUGGGGUGAUGGCCUACCAAGGCUUUGUCGGGUAGCCGGCCUGAGAGGGUGACCGGUCACAUUGGGACUGAGAUACGGCCCAGACUCCUACGGGAGGCAGCAGUGGGGAAUAGUGCACAAUGGGCGAAAGCCUGAUGCAGCGACGCCGCGUGAGGGAUGGAGGCCUUCGGGUUGUAAACCUCUUUCGCUCAUGGUCAAGCCGCAGCUUUGGGUUGUGGUGAGGGUAGUGGGUAAAGAAGCGCCGGCUAACUACGUG